rnacentral:rRNA from 1 species
GACGUAGGGCGCGAGCGUUGUUCGGAAUUACUGGGCGUAAAGCGCACGUAGGCGGAUUGUUAAGUCAGGGGUGAAAUCCCGAGGCUCAACCUCGGAACUGCCUUUGAUACUGGCAAUCUCGAGUCCGGAAGAGGUGAGUGGAAUUCCUAGUGUAGAGGUGAAAUUCGUAGAUAUUAGGAAGAACACCAGUGGCGAAGGCGGCUCACUGGUCCGGUACUGACGCUGAGGAGCGAAAGCGUGGGGAGCAAACAGG